rnacentral:lncRNA from 1 species
UCGGAUUCAAAGUUGAAUUCCAAAAUUUCCAUCACUAUCAGCACUACAAUAUUGACCAAAAUAAACUGAGAUAAAGCAUAGGGCUUUUGAGGAAAUAAUUUAUUUACUUAACUGAUGAUAAAGACAUAAUGCUUACUUCUAGCUUUGGCCAAUAACCAGUCUCAAUCAUCAAAGCAUGCUGAAAUUACCAAAAUGCACGAUAUUGAAAGAUUAGAGAAAGUAAAGCUAUUGGAAACCAGGUUCGUGAACCCUUCACCCACUCAACUCAGUCUUACCACCAAAAUUAGAAUAUAGUUUAUUCAUGUUGGUAGCUGCAAGCAACUUAUAAGCUCAUGCUUUUAUUAAUUGGUGUGAAUUUUUUUCUCUUAUUCUCUCGGGUUUUCUUUAUAUUAUUCAUCAUUUCAUAUCGUAUAUAUUAAAAUCAAGAGAAUAUAGGAUAUUCAAGUUUCCUUAUUCUUUUCUAAGAACGCUGAAACUAUAGGAUAUUGGAGUCACUACUUGUGGCAGAUAGCUGAACCAGCUUUUAACUACUAUAUGAACAUGAGAAAAUGAGCAUGAGAAAUCAAGGAAACUAAAGGAAUGGAUAGUUGAGAGACACACCUCAAAAAGGAUCUAGAAAAGAGAGUAUCUCAUCCUCUUAUUUUCAUUUCGUCUUCUUUUCAGCUCAAAUUCAUCAUCGAAAAUGUAAGUAGCUCUCUUUUAUUAUAUCGAAAUUAUUCAUGUAAUUCAUCUUUACUUUUUAUUUUUGGUUCUAAUCUUGUUUACUCUAUCUCCUUUGGAUUACUCUUUUUCUUCUGUGAGUUUUCUCUUCUUUUUCUUUAGUUAUUUUUUGAAUUUUUUUGUUUUGAUUGAUGAAUAGUUGCGAUAUUUGGAGUAUGUGAUGUUAUAAACUGAUAUUUCAUGGAAAAAAAAUUUAAAUUAAAAGAUUUACUGUUUGGCUUUGACUUUUGAGUUGACCUUGUAACUAUCGAAGUUCAAGUUAUCUGUUUAAGUUUGUAGUUAUCUUUUUGUUGUGUUUUCCGUUUAUGUGAUGAGCUACUGUGAAAUUUUUAGUGUUUAGAACCUGAGAGAAGUGGAAGAGUAACUAAUUGACUUUUAAUUGAAAUAAUUUUUAAUACUAUCUGGUUCGAAGUUAAUAUGAACAUGAGAAAUCAAGGACCAAAAGCCAAGGAAAAAACAUUAGAAGAUACAAUACAAGAUCCAUUAAGGUUCAUGAUAACUAGUUUUAGAAUCAACUUAGAGAAAUUUCCAUUGAAAUAGAAGAAAUAACAUACAAUUCACCCCUUUUUUAAACUCACAAACAAUAAACUAUAUUAGAAUCCUUACUGAAUUUUGAUAUUUAAGCAAGUGAAAGCAUUUGAUAAUUCCAAAGCCCAGAACCCAAAAGAUCACAUAAAAGAAUUGCAUACAGUUCAUUUGACUGCAUUUAUCUUGCUUCCUCAAUAAAAAUGGAAAAGCAAAGAAAUGUUUGAUCAGUCCUCUCAUAAAAAAUUUAACUCCUAACAUAGUACUAGAUUCAUCAAGAUGAUGAUCAUGACAGUUUUCCCACAGACGUCCAUUUUAACACCAGAAAUCAACUAUCAAGUAACAAUAAAUUGAAUUCCAACAAAAUAACAGAAAUAAGGGCAUGGGUAUUGACGAUUAAAGGGUAAAGAGAAAACCAAAAUCAAAAUUUUACCCAAAAAAAUAGAAGAAAUGAAGCUUUUGGGAAUCACCUGAAAGAAGUAUAGUUAUAGAAUUCAACAUCCAAACACAUGAAAAGAAGUGAAGCAGAGGAGAAAAUUGUUUGUCCCAAACGAAGAGCCAAGCUAGCGCUAAUUCCCAAUGACCCUGGCACUGGCUCCAUCAUUUUUCAAGUCAGCUUAUCUCUCCGUUUCUUCAUCUUUAAAUUCCCAAACAAGAAAGAAGAAAACAAAGUUCCAAAGAAAGUGAAGUGAUAUCUGAAAUUCCGAAAAAGUAUGCUUGCAAAAAAGGUUCUACCUUUGGGUUUUGUUUCUAUAAUGAAGAACUUGGAAGAGAGAAAGAAAAAAAGGAAGAUAGUGUUUUGUUACCAAAUAUCUAUGGACUCGAUUGAAUAAAAAAUGAACAGAUAGGGGAAUGGCCUGCUCUCUCUCUCGAUGCUUUGUUUUUGUUAAUGCCAUAAAAGAAGAAUUGUAAAUGUUGCAGCAAGCAACUAGAUCAAUGAUGAAAGAUAGAAUGCCACUAGAUCAAUGAUGAAAGUAGCUAUGAUUUAGCGAUAGUGUCCAUGGAGAGGUGAAAGAGUUGCUUUGGUUCAAGUCAGGAAAGAAUCUGACUAAGAAAGAAAGGCUCUAUGUUUCAUAGAGAUAGAGGCAUACUAUAUAAGAGCAAAACAUCAAAGAAAAAAAACAAAUUUAGGGUAAUAGAAGAGCAAGCACAAACUGAAUGAUGCAAAACCCAGAAAUAAAUAGAUUUUAAAUAAAACAUAAAAGAAGAAGAAGAAGAUUCUUCAACAGACUGAUACAAAAUCCAAACAGAUGCAAAAUCCAAAUAGAUUCUUCAACAAAAGAAAAAAAAGGAAGAAGAUUUGAGUGAGAGAGGUGACAAAUUGAAUGAAAUACAGAGUAAAGCAUAAAAAAGUUAUCUUGAGCUUUGUUUCAGGAAGGGAACUGGUCCAAUUGGAUGAUGAAGAAGAAGGACGGAAGGAGGAGGAAAGAUGGAAAAUGUCUUACAGAAAUAAAAUCGGUAAGACAUUUUCCCCAAAUCCCUUAUCAUUUUCCCGUGUUUCUGAAAAUGUUUUACCAAUGUAGGUGAUUUUCAAGCAAACAAAUACUGGAAAACCAGUAAAACAUUUUCCAGAAAAUGUUUUCCUAGUAAACAAACAGACCCUAGAUUGGAAAGAUGAAAUAAUAAAAGAUGGUAUUUUAAUUAAAUAAAAAAUAUCAUCAUUUAUAUCAUCUUUCCUAAACAAAAUACAUGAAAACCCUAGUUAGAAGAGCCUGAAGAUAGACAAGCUUAUUUUUCUCAAUUAGGUGAGCAUUCAAGUCCCGUUUUUAAUGAUUUUUAUGUUCCCGAGAUCGUAAUAGCUUAAUUUAGCUAUCUCGGGGAUUAAUUUGUAAAGUUAUCAAAGUACUAGGGUUUUUCCAUGAAUUAAUAUGCAUGAAUUAUGAAGUUUUAUGGUAGAAAUUGAAAAAUUGUUGAUAGAUAAACAACUUCUGUAAAGGGAAUUUUGAUGAAAUUUUAUUUAGGGACUAAAUUGAAAAGAUGUAAAAUUCAUGAAAAAUUUUGAAUUUUGUGAAAUACAUGGGCUGCUAAUGUUACAUAUAAAAAUCGGCUAGGCUUGGAAUAAGGAUUAAAUUGCAUGAAUUUCAUUUUCCGAGCCUAGGGACGAAAUCAGAAUUAAAUAAAAGUAUAAGGACAAAAUGAUACUUUUGACUAAGAUGUGAAUUGGAUUUAAUUGAGUAUGAAUUGUAUUAAAUUAAUGAUAAAUGCAUAUAUGUGAAUUUGGUAAGUUAGGUAAGUUUGUAUACUUGGUUAUAAGAGGUAUUAUAUCAUGUAUAAGACCUGAUUUUGAAUGGAUUUGAAUGUCUUGUAUUGGCUUGAGAAUAUGUUUAAGUGUUUAUAUAGGUGAAAGACAAAUUUGGGUGAGAAAUAUGUCUUAGAAAUGACCUUAUUUUGUCAACACGGGCGUAUGUCUCAAUCGUGUGUGACACAUGACCUAGCACAUGGGUGUGUGACUUGGUCGUGUGUGACACACGGCCCCCUGCAUCUUUAAGAUCUCAAAACAAAAUGCACAAAAUUGAUCACACGGCCUGGCACACGGCGUGUGGCUUGGCUGUGUGACCCUUGCACCUAUUUAAUGAAAAUUAUUAUGUUCACACGGCCUAGCACACGGGCGAGUGACUUGGCUGUGUGACCCAAGAUAGAGAGUUACACGGGUACUAACACGGGUUGGGACACGGUUGUGUGCCUUAUUUCGAAUGUCCACACGGCCUAAGACACGGGCGUGUAUGUCCCUUGCACCUAAGAAAUUUUUUGAAGUUUCGCGAAAAAUUCUUUGAGUACCCGGUUUAGUCCCGACUUGAUUCUAAUGCGUGCUUUGAGUCUCGAGGGCUCACAUAAGGGACGAUAUGAUUGAUUGUUACAAGUUUAUGAUAUGAAUGUGAAAUGAUGUAAAAUUGUUUGUAUUUUAUCUGUAAAUCUUGGUAAUACUCCGUAAUCCUAUUCCAGCGACAAAUAAGAGUUAGAGGUGUUAGAACAACAAUCUUCAUUAGGGCAAAAAACUGGCUGAUAAAACAUUAACAUAAUAUGCACGCUUUAGUGAAGGUAAGAUUUGUUUCAUCAUCUUCUCCAAAGCUCCCCAAAAUGGAAAUUUUUGUUUUAGUCUCUUUAAAGAUUAAAUUAUUUUAACCAAUACAAUAGUAAAAACGUACUUUUCACCUUUAAAAUUUUAUAAUUCAAUUCUAACCUUUCAAAAAUAAAUAAUUUAUAGGUUAAUCCUUCUAUAAAUUGGAAAAUUUUAAACUAAUAUAAUUAUAAAAUUAUAUUUUAACUUAAUUUUGGUCGCCAUAAAUUUUUUUGGCUUUUUCCUUACCUAUAGGUAUUCCAUAAUAAAUGGCAUCUCUUUCAUCUCAACUUUUUGUUCUUACAUUUUCCUCUCCUUUUUCACUAUAUUAUUUUUUUCUUGAUUCACUAUACUAAUUUAAGUAUUGAAAAUCAUCUCACAGCACUCGAUGCCCCUUAGCUCUCCCAUGUAUUGCAAGAGUCUCUGAAUAUUUAAGUCCAUCCCACCUCCAUCAAAGGUCACUCUCCUACCUAAUCCAUUAGAAACUGCAUCAACACUUAUCAUCUUUACUAGGGAAUGAGCAAAAUCCAUGGCUCAACCGCUUAAUGUGUCAAUCUUCAGCUUGAACAAUAUUAAAUUUUGUUUUUUCACCAUAUUAUUUUUAAAGUCAUAUGUUACAUAAAUCUCUCUGAGCUUCUUGAGAGUUUUUUUGGUGGAGAUGAAUAUAAUGUAUAUUUGCGUUGUUUUGAAAUAUACUUUGAUAUUUAAGUUAAGGUCUUUUAAAAUAAUUUUUUUAAAAAAUUAUAUAUUUAUAAAGUACAAUAAUAAAUAUAACCCUCAACCUUUAUUUUUAUUUUUUGUUUUGAUGAAUUUAGCCUUUCAAUUAAAAAUGGUUCAAAACAUCCUCGUCUUAGUUGCUCAGGCGCACAAAUUAGCACUUGAUUGUUUUUUAUUUUUUUAUUUUUAAGUAAUAAAGGUAAGCUCAAAAUGGGCCAAAACAAAAAACGAGUUACCAUGUCUAAGAAAUAUAAUAUUUCAAAAAAGUCAAUUUGUGAAUCAAAAUUAAUUUGAUUUGGUUAUUCGAAAAUAAUAAAAAUUAUCAUCAAUACAAAAUGUUAUAUAUAUAUUUCUAUGCGUUUUAAGUUUUAUGUUAACUUAGCACGAAAUUAAUUCAAUUCUUUGAUUAUUUUAAUUAAAUUGAGAUUUAAUUAUACGAAAAAAGAUUGUAUCAUCUAAAAUAUAUAAAAUCUUAUAUUUUGGUCAUUAUAAAAUGUUGUGUAUCUUUAUAGACAAUUUUUUUUUACUUGUGAUUUUCAAUUUGAAUAUUUAUUUAAUGAUUAUAGUAAGGGUAGAGUGAAUAAAACUUGAUUAAUUCGACUGAGUUAAUGAAAAUAUAUUUGAUCAGCUUGUUGUUAGUUUCCAGAAUCUAAUAGCAAACAGGAAGAGACAUGUCUAUGAACAAUGAGUUUGAAAAUGUUGAUGCUGGUUGUGAGUCAGGAGAUGAACACAUCAUGUCGAGAUGCAAAACCAGCUAAAGGACUCGUAUUGGCUAAAAAACCAGUAAUAAUAAUAAAGAAUUAAUUUCAUUCACAUAUAUACAUGUGUUGCUGCAUAAAAAAAAUAAUUUGUUAGAAGCAACCGGAUCUUGCCUCCUUGCAGAACCUACUCGACAAUACAGCAAUAACAAGAAGAAGACGAGACAAGUUAAAAGCAAAUGAUUCAUUAAUACAAGGCAUUGAAUGUAGUACCGCCGUGCGCAUUAUUAUAUGAUAUUUGUAUAUAUGGAUAUUAUGGCAUUGAAAACUAGUCGUGUUUGUUGCUACCAAAGGGUGAUGAGUUGUUGUGAUUGUGGAGAGGAGACACAGCAGAACAUUUUGGCGAUAGUUGUGGGGAUCGAGAUCCAGUUAGUUCAUGUUGCUUGCUUCCAAUCGAUAUUUAAAAUGAUUGAGAUUCCUCAUGUCUGCCCUCAACAUGUAAUAUAUAUGUUGAGCAGAUGGUAAGGGGCUACAGCAAAUAGCUAAGCAGAGUUGAAAACACAAAUCGCUUUUGCAAAACAAGAAA